AGUCAAGUAAUUAAGUGCAUGUGGUGGAUGCCUUGGCAGUCAGAGGCGAUGAAAGACGUGAUAGCCUGCGAAAAGCUCCGGGGAGGCGGCAAAUAUCCUUUGAUCCGGAGAUGUCUGAAUGGGGGAACCCACCUACUUUAAGGUAGGUAUUGCAACAUGAAUACAUAGUGUUGCAAGGCGAACGAGGGGAAGUGAAACAUCUCAGUACCCUUAGGAAAAGAAAUCAAUUGAGAUUCCCUCAGUAGCGGCGAGCGAACGGGGAUCAGCCCAUUAAGUUAUGUGUGUUUUAGUGGAACGCUCUGGGAAGUGCGAACGUAGAGGGUGAUAUUCCCGUACACGAAAGGGCACACAUAAUGAUGACGAGUAGGGCGAGGCACGUGAAACCUUGUCUGAAUAUGGGGGGACCAUCCUCCAAGGCUAAAUACUCCUGACUGACCGAUAGUGAACCAGUACCGUGAGGGAAAGGCGAAAAGAACCCCUGUGAGGGGAGUGAAAUAGAUCCUGAAACCGCAUGCAUACAAGCAGUGGGAGCACCUUCGUGGUGUGACUGCGUACCUUUUGUAUAAUGGGUCAGCGACUUAUAUUCAGUAGCGAGGUUAACCGUAUAGGGGAGCCGUAGAGAAAUCGAGUCUUAAUAGGGCGUUUAGUUGCUGGGUAUAGACCCGAAACCAGGCGAUCUAUCCAUGAGCAGGUUGAAGGUUGGGUAACACUAACUGGAGGACCGAACCCACUGUCGUUGAAAAGCCAGGGGAUGACUUGUGGAUAGGGGUGAAAGGCUAAUCAAGCCUGGUGAUAGCUGGUUCUCCCCGAAAGCUAUUUAGGUAGCGCCUCGGACGAAUACCAUAGGGGGUAGA
rnacentral:rRNA from 1 species